GGAAUAAGGGUGAUUUGGCUGAUCUGGCUGGCUAGGUAGGUGUUUCCUUCUUCCCACACUGUUCCAAGUGCCAUCUGCCAAAGCCAUGCUCUCAGUAGAAGAGGAUGACCUUCCCUGAAUAGAGAUUGGGCUCUGUCUUUGAGGAUAUAUGAGGUACCUGUUGCACUCCCCUGCUAGAACCUCCAAAUAAGAUCUCAGUCCCCACAAACAAGUUUAGUGUUUUUUGUUUGUUCGCUUGCAGCCAGGUUAUUGGUGGGGCAUGGUGCCUGGACAA
ensembl:misc_RNA 7SK 7SK RNA